UGAUGUACCCGCCUUACUCUCUCAGUUCUCUUACGCUGACGUUCACCUGAGCUUCUUACAAACAGAACCUCCCAUUGUACUUGUCAGAACUCCCAAUCCAGGAAGAAGAAAUUCUGCUCCACUCUUGACUUCAAUGUUACCAUCCGGUUUAAUGCAGAUCGGGCUUUCUGCUGAAGACACUGCUUCUCUGAAGCCCUCUCAAGGGAAAGAACAUCUUCUACUUGUUAUUUAGGGCAAUUAAAAUAUCUGGUUUCCAAACACUAUCAGUCAGUGGAAAAGAAUUUGAAGAUGUGGAUGAAAUGAAUUCAGAUACAUUACAGAUGAAAAUAUGAAUGCCCUUUAAAGAGCUUCAAAUAUUCAUACUGAAAUGGCAAGAGGAGAGAUCUGUUUCUACGGGAAACACUAAUCACAAACCAAGACAAAGCUUUGAACUUCAUGGAGUCUGUAAGACAUUUUGGCCACUCACUAAAAAUCUGCCUGUUUUCCCAAAGUCAAAAUCCCCCUCUUCCCCUGAAGAGGUAACAACUUUAAGGUGCAUUCCAAGACACUCGGCUGUGAUUCUGAUAUCGAAUAUCAGCAAAGGAAGACCCUUCUCCCCCAGCCCAGCCCAGAGAGCAAUUGUGGAAAAUACAUUCUGAAAAUCCAAAGCUGGCAUCCCAGGACACCAAGUAGGCAAACAGUGGCUUGAACAGUGGGACUAUCAGAGGACAUGGAGAAAGGUGGAAAGAUUUAAGACCUUGGUGAUGGACUGUGUGUGUACAGCUGAGACAAAGACAGGGCAGUGCCAAGGAUGAGUGCCCCUUCGCACCAGGGACAAAGUGUGAAGGGUGGUGGGUCAUUGCUGUGUGAGACACGAGUGGCUGCUUCUCUCGCUUUGCUCUGAAGAUUAGCAUCUGUUAUUUCACCUCAAGAAAACUGAAUUGACAUUGUAUCUUUAAUUAUUCAAAUUAAAAGACCGGUGCUGUGUCAACUUAAAUUAUUAGAAUGGCCUGUCUAAGCUAUUCCUACUUGAUCAAAUUUAAGUCUGAUCAACUGAAACGCAGAAUAUGGUGAUGAUGCAGACAGUAAUGACUGUGUUGUUUUGAAAGCUUCUGGGCCUAAAGCAGAGUCAGAAGACAGAAGUUGAUAUAAAGCUGCAUGUCGGAGUUUUAAAUGAGAUUACUGGACUAGUUUAAACUUGCAAGUCAACUUUUUUGCCUUCAUUGUUAUUAAAAGUAAAAAAUGCGGAAGAGCUUGUGUAUUUAUCUGCAUAAAGAAGAAGAAAAUCUCCCCCAUCUGUGAAGCGC
rnacentral:lncRNA from 1 species